AGCGAACGCUGGCGGCAUGCCUAACACAUGCAAGUCGAACGAGACCUUCGGGUCUAGUGGCGCACGGGUGCGUAACGCGUGGGAACCUGCCUUUAGGUUCGGAAUAACUCAGAGAAAUUUGAGCUAAUACCGGAUGAUGUCUUCGGACCAAAGAUUUAUCGCCUUUAGAUGGGCCCGCGUUGGAUUAGCUAGUUGGUGGGGUAAAGGCCUACCAAGGCGACGAUCCAUAGCUGGUCUGAGAGGAUGAUCAGCCACACUGGGACUGAGACACGGCCCAGACUCCUACGGGAGGCAGCAGUGGGGAAUAUUGGACAAUGGGCGAAAGCCUGAUCCAGCAAUGCCGCGUGAGUGAUGAAGGCCUUAGGGUUGUAAAGCUCUUUUACCCGAGAUGAUAAUGACAGUAUCGGGAGAAUAAGCUCCGGCUAACUCCGUG
rnacentral:rRNA from 1 species